rnacentral:lncRNA from 1 species
AUGCACAUGUGCCUCCUAUUAGCAUCAGCUGCAGCUACACACGCCACAGUGGAGGAGCAGACCCCGAAGCAGAUGCUGAGGCCUGACGCGGGUCCAGGCCCCGCCAUACCCAGGUACACCCGAGGUGCCGUGCCAGGGCUCGGCUCCUCCCGCAGCCCUCACGGGCACUGCUCACUUCAUUUUGAACAGCAAUCCCUGCCAAAAUGGAUCAGAGCUUUCCUGGUGCCAGUGAGAAAGCCUGGACGAGUCCUUUCACACUGUGGAAAAGUCUCCUGGCUCCGGUGCCUCUCCAGCCCUCCGCGAUGCCCCUUCCACAAGAAGGACAUCCAGGUGCUGAGGGCAGGAGGACACUCCUUGUGCAGAUAUCAGGCUACAAGUGCAGAGAAGAGGACAACAGCCAGCAGGGGAAGGCAGCACAGCACAGAGGGUCUGCCUGUCCCCGGCGGUGUUACAGCCAUGCAGGGAGACCAGCCAGACAGGAGAGGAACCUAAAUUACACCUCGUAUGAAGUGGUGUGAGUAUUCCCCGCAAUCAUAGCUGUUUGAGUUAGCACUGGGUUUCCCACAAGUAGAGCAGAUCCUGGAGGGAAUGAAGGCCACAGAGAGAAAGCAGGACUGGAAUGUGAUUCUCUUGCAUAUUUGAAAUGUUAUUUACUAUCUAGUAAACCCAUUUUAUAGCAACCCUGCAUUUUAUUUUCGAACACUUCCAUCGACACCCACUGUAUAUCAGUCAUUAUCUGAUUAUGGAAGCUUUCACAACAGUUUCCGGGCAGCUUUAAGAAGCUGCCAAAGAAUUCAGUGUGGCAGAGGUUUGAGCUUUAUUGCUGCUUUUCACAGAAAGGCUGAAGAACAAAUAAUGGAGAAGGAAAAAAAAAAAAAAAAAAGAUUUCAAUGAUCAGUGCUAAUGCACUAAGCCCCAGACCACGAAAAAAAGACCUUUGGGGCAUUAUACAGUUCAGGUAACGUGCUCACAACCUUCUGCCAGUGGUUCAUGAGAUUCCAUAGCCUCUCUGGCUUUUUUAUUAGUUCGUGAAGAAGAGCAAUAAAUAAAUGUCAUGUCAUUACUGGAAAAGCA